UCGAAGGUCUUCAAUUUAGGUCAU
rnacentral:siRNA from 1 species